rnacentral:rRNA from 1 species
GAUGAACGCUGGCGGCGUGCUUAACACAUGCAAGUCGAACGGAAAGGCCCAAGCUUGCUUGGGUACUCGAGUGGCGAACGGGUGAGUAACACGUGGGUGAUCUGCCCUGCACUUCGGGAUAAGCCUGGGAAACUGGGUCUAAUACCGGAUAGGACGAUGGUUUGGAUGCCAUUGUGGAAAGUUUUUUCGGUGUGGGAUGAGCUCGCGGCCUAUCAGCUUGUUGGUGGGGUAAUGGCCUACCAAGGCGUCGACGGGUAGCCGGCCUGAGAGGGUGUACGGCCAUAUUGGGAGGGAGAACGGGCCAAGACUCCAGCGGGGGGAGGCAGGGGGGAAUAUGGAAAAAGGGGGGAAAGCUUGAGGCGGCGCCCGCGGGGGGGGGAGGAGGCCUUGGGGGUGGAAAACCCUUUCCGCGAGGGAGGAGGCGUUUUUGUGAGGGUACGGGGAGAAGAAGCCCCGGCUAACUACGU